UUCCGGUUGAUCCCGCCGGCGGGCACCGCUAUUGGAGUUCGCUUAAGCCAUGCGAGUCGAGAGGGGUAAGCCCUCGGCGCACUGCUCAGUAACACGCGGACAAUCUGCCCUCGAGACGGGGAUAAUCCCGGGAAACUGGGGAUAAUACCCGAUAGGUCUGGGAUGAUGGAAGGCUCCCUGGCCAAAAUCUUCCGGGGCUCGAGGAUGGGUCUGCGGCCUAUCAGGUCGUAGGGGGUUCUACGGACCCCCUAGCCGAAGACGGGUACGGGCUUUGGGAGAAGUCGCCCGGAGAUGGAUUCUGAGACACGAAUCCAGGUCCUACGGGACGCAGCAGGCGCGAAACCUCCACAAUGUGGGCAACCACGAUGGGGGAACUCCAAGUGCUUACACUUUUGUGUAAGCUGUUCUCGAGCCUAAAAAGCUCGAGAAGUAAGGGCCGGGUAAGACGGGUGCCAGCCGCCGCGGUAAUACCCGCGGCCCGAGUGGUGCUCAUUAUUAUUGAGCCUAAAGCGUCCGUAGCUGGCCGGGCAAAUCUCCGGGUAAAUCGGGCCGCUCAACGGUCCGAAUUCCGGAGACACUGCUCGGCUUGGGAUCGGGAGAGGUUGAAGGUACUUCUGGGGUAGGGGUAAAAUCCUGUAAUCCUGGAAGGACGACCAGUGGCGAAGGCGUUCAACUAGAACGGAUCCGACGGUGAGGAACGAGGGCUAGGGGAGCAAACCGGAUUAGAUACCCGGGUAGUCCUAGCUGUAAACACUGCCCACUUGGUGUUGCUUCUUCUAUAGGGGGGAGCAGUGCCGGAGCGAAGGUGUUAAGUGGGCCGCUUGGGGAGUAUGGUCGCAAGGCUGAAACUUAAAGGAAUUGGCGGGGGAGCACCGCAACGGGAGGAGCGUGCGGUUUAAUUGGAUUCAACGCCGGG
rnacentral:rRNA from 1 species